AAUAAUAAUGAUAAUAAACAUAAAUCUUAUAAUUAGUGAGUAGUGCAAGUAACGCAAGAAAAACAACUAAUAAUAGUAUAAACAAUAGGCUGUGUAGUUAGACUUUAGCGUUCAACGGGGUAAUGUGAAUGAAAACAAAAAAAACAAGCCUUAAAAAGAAUAUAAAAUCACAAACAAAGUCAUCAAACAACUUACUGUACGCAUGCAGGUGUUCGGGUAAUAAUAACAAUAAAAUUAGUGCUUAUUAUACAAUAAUUGUAAGUCUUAGAAAAUUACAUCAGUUUUUUAUCGCAAUACGGGUUGAGAGAUACAAAGGAGUGAAGGUGAGGGCGAAACGUGGGAGAGAAAGCCUGGCAUGUGUUUGACCGAGUUAUGAUUAAAGCCUUUAUAAAAUACAUUUGUAAAGACAAUAACGUGCAUUGUGUUAUUCAAAUUUUUAUGUUAAGGAAAAGCAAAUUAGUCUCGUGUUAAUUAAUCACGCAUUACGCGCCUAUUUGCUUUCAUUUCGUAUUAAUCGACGUCGUCAAACCAUCUUCCAAAGAAAAUCCAAGUAGUGAUCAAGUGUUGCCU